rnacentral:rRNA from 1 species
GAUGAACGCUAGCUACAGGCUUACCACAUGCAAGUCGAGGGGAAACGACAUCAAAAGCUUGCUUUUGAUGGGCGUCAACCGGCGCACGGGUGAGUAACGCGUAUCCAACCUGCCCAUCACUUGGGGAUAACCUUGCAAAAGUAAAACUAAUACCCAAUGACGUCUCUAGAAAACAUCUGAAGGAAAUUAAAGAUUUAUCGGUGAUGGAUGGGGAUGCGUCUGAUUAGCUUGUUGGCGGGGUAACGGCCCACCAAGGCAACAAUCAGUAGGGGUUCUGAGAGGAAGGUCCCCCACAUUGAAACUGAAACACGGUCCAAACUCCUACGGGAGGCAGCAGUGAGGAAUAUUGGUCAAUGGACAAGAGUCUGAACCAGCCAAGUAGCGUGCAGGAUGACGGCCCUAUGGGUUGUAAACUGCUUUUAUAAGGAAAUAAAGUGAGUCUCGUGAGACUUUUUGCAUGUACCUUAUGAAUAAGGACCGGCUAAUUCCGUG